UACGUAGGGGGCGAGCGUUGUCCGGAAUUACUGGGCGUAAAGGGCGCGUAGGCGGCCUUAAAAGUCUCAAGUGAAAUCCCCGUUUUCAAGAUGGGAACUGCUUGGGAAACUUUAGGGCUUGAGUCAAGGAGAGGGUAGCGGAAUUCCCAGUGUAGCGGUGAAAUGCGUAGAUAUUGGGAGGAACACCAGUGGCGAAGGCGGCUAUCUGGACUUAAACUGACGCUGAUGCGCGAAAGCGUGGGAGCAAACAGG
rnacentral:rRNA from 1 species